GAGAAUCGGGCUCUUAAGUUCACCCAGGAGACUCAUAGAGAAUCGGGCUCUUAAGUUCACCCAGGAGACCCCAUAGCCAUCUUGCUUUCAUUAAACUCAUUUCAAGUCAACGGAACUAAUCUGAACUGUGUCUCCACAUGGCCAAUACUGCAGUUCUUUCUGCACCCCUUCGGCUCCCCACUGUGCUGUCUCUAAAUGAGGCUUGGAGAGGCCUUGGGGUCACAUGCCAGCUUAACACUGCCCUUCUUUGCUGCCACAGUGAAGAUCUGGCUUCAGCUCUCUGCGAGAGCCAUGGAAGUACUUUGGUCAACACUGGGUCACGUGUGGCCUCCUGCUCCUUGGAACUGUACAUUUUCCAUUUGCCCCCUUCCCCAUAAUUCCUCUUCUUUCUGGAUCUGUAGGACCCAACCCUCAGCCACUUGCUUCUAGUUCCCUUCCACAGGAAUCAUCCCACCUUCCUCGUAGACUCAUUCUCUAAACGACUUAGUAGCUCGCCUUGUAGACUCAUUCUCUAAACGACUUAAUAGCUCGCCCUCUUUGUUCACCUUGGAAACAUGGAGUCAAGUGCUGCUUGAUGAACUUGAGAAAUGUCUCCUGUCCCAGCACAGGACGACCCUUCUCUCUUCUGCUGUAGCCCACUGUGUCCCCUUUGCCAGACUUCUUGAUGUGUUCAAGCGAGCAGACCCUUUGUCCAUUAAACUCCGGGGAAGUCAGUCCCUGACAUGAUUGACAAUGCAUGAAUUUGAGGGUUGCUGUCUCUGCAGCAUUCCCCAUAAUUCCAGUGAAAUAAAUGUCCUUUGUUGCUCCCGGCUGAGUAAUCAAGCCUCCUUGUGCUCUUAGGGGAGCUGCAGGCCUGAAACUUGUCAAAUGGGUUUGGGAGUGUAACACCUGCCCUUGGCACUGCUGAAACUCAACCACAGGGCAGAUCUCGUCUGAUACCUAUAAUAUGAAUAUGAAACUAUGCCUAAGACUGUCCCAAAUCAAGUAGAAAACAUGGAAAUUCCAGUUGACCUUAUGCCAAUCAUGGAGAAAUUAAAAUACCAUCCUAAUUUGAUUUAGACUAAAUUUAAGGAAUAAAAUUACUAUUUUAAUU
rnacentral:lncRNA from 1 species